rnacentral:rRNA from 1 species
GAUGAACGCUGGCGGCGUGCCUAAUACAUGCAAGUCGAGCGGACGGACGCUACUCUUACUGUUCUGAUGUUAGCGACGGGCGGGUAAGUAACACGUGGAUAGCCUCCCUCUAAGACUUGGAUAACUUCGGGAAACCGGAGCAAAUGCCGGGUCAUAUUUUGAACCGGAUGGUUCAAAAGAUAAAGACGGGUUUGCUGUCAGCUAUAGGUGGAUCCGCGCGGCAUUAGCUAGUUGGUAAGGUAACGGCUUACCAAGGCAACGAUGCAUAGACGACCUCAGAGGGUGGUCGGCCACACUGGAUGGGAGACAAGGUCCAGACUCCGACGGGAGGCAGCAGCAGGGGAUCGUCAGCAAUGGGCGAAAGCCUGACGGAGCAACGAGGCGUGAGCGACGAAGGUCUGUGGAGCGUAAAACCCUGCUAGUUGUGAAGACCAUAUGUGUAAGUAACUGUGCACGUCGUGACGGUACCUAAACAGAAAGCCACGGCUAACUACGUG